rnacentral:rRNA from 1 species
UACGUAGGGAGCAAGCGUUGUCCGGAAUCAUUGGGCGUAAAGCGCGCGUAGGCGGCCCGGUAAGUCCGUUGUGAAAGUCAAAGGCUCAACCUUUGAAUGCCGAUGGAUACUGCCGGGCUCGAGUCCGGAAGAGGCGAGUGGAAUUCCUGGUGUAGCGGUGGGAAUGCGCAGAUAUCAGGAGGAACACCAAUAGCGAAGGCAGCUCGCUGGGACGGUACUGACGCUAAGGCGCGAAAGCGUGGGGAGCAAACAGG